rnacentral:rRNA from 1 species
AGAGUUUGAUCCUGGCUCAGAUUGAACGCUGGCGGCAGGCUUAACACAUGCAAGUCGAGCGGAGAUGAGGUGCUUGCACCUUAUCUUAGCGGCGGACGGGUGAGUAAUGCUUAGGAAUCUGCCUAUUAGUGGGGGACAACAUUUCGAAAGGAAUGCUAAUACCGCAUACGUCCUACGGGAGAAAGCAGGGGAUCUUCGGACCUUGCGCUAAUAGAUGAGCCUAAGUCGGAUUAGCUAGUUGGUGGGGUAAAGGCCUACCAAGGCGACGAUCUGUAGCGGGUCUGAGAGGAUGAUCCGCCACACUGGGACUGAGACACGGCCCAGACUCCUACGGGAGGCAGCAGUGGGGAAUAUUGGACAAUGGGGGGAACCCUGAUCCAGCCAUGCCGCGUGUGUGAAGAAGGCCUUAUGGUCGUAAAGCACUUUAAGCGAGGAGGAGGCUACUGAGACUAAUACUCUUGGAUAGUGGACGUACUCGCAGAAUAAGCACCGGCUAACUCUGUGCCAGCAGCCGCGGUAAUACAGAGGGUGCGAGCGUUAAUCGGAUUUACUGGGCGUAAAGCGUGCGUAGGCGGCUUUUUAAGUCGGAUGUGAAAUCCCCGAGCUUAACUUGGGAAUUGCAUUCGAUACUGGGAAGCUAGAGUAUGGGAGAGGAUGGUAGAAUUCCAGGUG